GACGAACGCUGGCGGCGUGCUUAACACAUGCAAGUCGAACGGAAAGGCGCUGCUUUUGUGGGGUGCUCGAGUGGCGAAGGGGUGAGUAACACGUGAGUAACCUGCCCUUGACUUUGGGAUAACUUUAGGAAACUGGGGCUAAUACCGGGUAGGAGCUCCUGCUGCAUGGUGGGGGUUGGAAAGAUUCGGCGGUUGGGGAUGGACUCGCGGCUUAUCAGCUUGUUGGUGGGGUAGUGGCUUACCAAGGCUUUGACGGGUAGCAGGCCUGAGAGGGUGAACGGGGACAUUGGGCCUGCGAUACGCCCCAGAAUCCUACGGUAGGCAGCAGUGGGGAAUAUUGCACAACGGGCGGAAGCCUGAUGCAGCAACGCCGCGUGCGGGAUGACGUCCUUCGGGUUGUAAACCGCUUUCGCCUGUGACGAAGCGUGAUUGACGGUAACGGGUAAAGAAGCACCGGCUAACUACGUG
rnacentral:rRNA from 1 species